rnacentral:lncRNA from 1 species
AUGCCACUGCACUCCAGCCUGGGUGACAGAGCGAGACUCUGUCUCAAAAACAAAACAAAACAAAAACUGGCCGGGCGCUGCGGGUUCACACCUGUAAUCCCAGCACUGGGAGGCCGAGACGGGCGGAUCACUUAUCAGGAGAUCGAGAUCCUGGCUAACAUGGUGAAACUCCCUGCCUCUACUAAAAUACAGGGAAUUAGCCAGGCGGUGGUGGCAGGUGCCUGUAGUCCCAGCCUCCCGAGUAGCUGGGACUACAGGCGCCCGCCACCUCGCCCGGCUAGUUUUUUUGUAUUUCUUAAUAGAGACGGGGUUUCACCGUGUUAGCCAGGAUGGUCUCGAUCUCCUGACCUCGUGAUCCGCCCGUCUCGGCCUCCCAAAGUGCUGGGAUUACAGGCUUGAGCCACCGCGCCCGGCCAGGAAUUUUCUACAUAUAUUACAUUGGUUAUGAUUUAAUCUUCAUUUUUAUCCAUAUGCAUUCUUUUCUUUUUCUUGUUUCACUGUUGUUUUGGGAAAAACUUUUUCCUGCGUUCUCACUCCCCCACAGCAAUCAACACAGAGGAAGUCUUCUGUGCCCAAAUGUGUGGGGUUUUUCCCACACACCAAGCAGCAGGCACAGCUGGGUAUCCUCCACUCAGCUCUGACACUGUCUGCCUGGAGAUAGAGUUGGAUACCAUGGGUUCGGGGCUCAGUUCCCAAGACUACCUAUCCCCCCAGACCCUAAUCGCAAGUCUGGGCCUCUCAAACUUUUGACUGACUGGCUUCAUGUUGAGGUUCCCAGGACCCCCUUUUGGGGUUCCAUUAAUUUGCUGGCGUGGCUCACAGCACUCCAGGAAAUGCAUACAUUUACUGGUUUAUUAGAAAGGAUAUUGCAAAAGGGACGGGUGCAGUGGCUCACACCUGUAAUCCCAGCACUUUGGAGGCCAAGGCGGGCAGAUCACUUGAGGUCGGGAGUUCGAGACCAGCCUGGCCAACACGGCGAAACCCCGUAUCCCCGUAAUUUUUGUAUUUUUGUAAAAAUACAAAAAUUAGCCAUGAUGGCGCACACCUGUAAUCUCAGCUACCUGGGGCAGGGGGGUUGGAGGUGGCGAAUUGCUUGAACCCGGGAGGCAGAGGUUGCAGUGAGCCGAGAUCACACCACUGCACUCCAGCCUGGGGAACACAGCGAGACUCCGUCUCAAAAAAAAAAAAAGAAAGGACAUUGCAAAAGAUAUGGAUGAAGAGCUGACUAGGGCCAGGUCUGGGGCGGGGGGUGGAGCUUCCAUACCCCUCCGAGUGCCACUUUCCAGGAACCUUCUGUGUUGUGCAUCCGGAAACUCCACCACCCAGUCCUCUUGGAUCUUUAUGGAGGCUUCAUGACGUCAGCAUUCCUUCCCCCAGGGAAUAGGGCUCUGAGAAGGGUCUUAAGACCCACAGUCGGAGAGGUAGGGGAAGGUUAGACUCCUGCCUUGGGGCAGGCGAAAGGAGACCAGGAGAAGGUCAGAGGCUACCCGAAGCCUAACACAGGCAACGUCAUCACGAAAGACUGUAGCAAGGACCAUGGAGUUAUGAGCCAGGAACCCCGCACGGAAAACGACGUAUUUCAUAACACCACAACUGUGUGCGGACUAGGCCAGAAAUAGUGUGCUGACUAUGCGUGAUAAGACGCUGUAUAUCUGAUCUGGCCUUGUUGACAAGCAUUCAGCAUUUCCUUUUUUUUUUUUUUUUUGAGAUGGAGUCUUGCCCUGUGGUCCAGGCUGGAAUGCAGUGGCGUGAUCUUGGCUCACUGCAACCUCUGCAUCCUAGGUUCAAGCGAUUCUCCUGCCUUGGCCUCCUGAGUAGCUGAGAUUACAGGCGCCUGCCACCAUGCCUAACUAAUUUUUUUUUUUUUUUUGAGACGGAGUUUUGCUCUGUCGCCUAGGCUGGAGUGCAGUGGCACGAUCUCGGCUCACUGCAAGCUCUGCCUCUUGGGUUCACGCCAUUCUCCUGCCUCAGCCUCCCGAGUAGCUGGGACUACAGGUGCCUGCCACCACACCCAGCUAAUUUUUUUGUAUUUUUAGUACAGACAGGGUUUCACCGUGUUAGCCAGGAUGGUCUCAAUCUCCUGACCUCAUGAUCUGCCCGCCUUGGCCUCCCAAAGUGCUGGGAUUACAGGCAUGAGCCACCGCACCUGGCCUGCAAUUUUUUGUAUUUUUAAUAGAGAUGGUGUUUCGCCAUGUUGGCCACACUGGUCUCGGACUGCUGACCUCAAGUGAUCUGCUCACCUUGGCCUCCUGAAGUGCUGGGAUUACAGGCGUGAGCCACUGUGCUGACCACAUUCAGUAUUUCAAUUCAUAUAUUGAAAGCAUUCAGUGGUUGGGCGUGGUGUCUCACGCCUGUGAUCCCAACACUUUGGUAGGCCAAGGCAGGAGGAUACUUUGAGCCCAGGAGUUCAAGAUCAGCCUGGGCAACAUAGUGAGACCCUGUCUCUACAGAAAAUAAAAAAACAGGCCAGGCGUGGUGGCUCACACCUGUAAUCCCAGCACUUUGGGAGGCCAAGGCAGGUGGAUCACUUGAAAUCAGGAGUUUGAGUCUAGCCUGCCUGGCCAACAUGGAGAAACCCCUGUCUCUACUAAAAAUAGAAAAAUUAGCCGGGCGUGGUGACAUGUGCGUGUGCCUGUAGUCGUAGCUACUUGGAAGGCUGAGGCAGGAGAAUCACUUGAAUCCUUGAAAGACA